GAUGAAGAACGUAGCGAACUGCGAUAAGUAAUGUGAAUUGCAGAAUUCAGUGAAUCAUCGAGUCUUUGAACGCACAUUGCGCCCCCUGGCAUUCCGGGGGGCAUGCCUGUCCGAGCGUCAUUGCUGCCCAUCAAGCCCGGCUUGUGUGUUGGGUCGUCGUCCCCCCCGGGGGACGGGCCCGAAAGGCAGCGGCGGCACCGUGUCCGGUCCUCGAGCGUAUGGGGCUUUGUCACCCGCUCGAUUAGGGCCGGCCGGGCGCCAGCCGACGUCUCCAACCAUUUUUUUCAGGUUGACCUCGGAUCAGGUAGGGAUACCCGCUGAACUUAAGCAUAUCAAUAGCGGAGGA
rnacentral:misc_RNA from 1 species